rnacentral:rRNA from 1 species
GAUGAACGCUGGCGGCGUGCCUAAUACAUGCAAGUCGAGCGAACGGACGAGAAGCUUGCUUCUCUGAUGUUAGCGGCGGACGGGUGAGUAACACGUGGAUAACCUACCUAUAAGACUGGGAUAACUUCGGGAAACCGGAGCUAAUACCGGAUAAUAUUUUGAACCGCAUGGUUCAAAAGUGAAAGACGGUCUUGCUGUCACUUAUAGAUGGAUCCGCGCUGCAUUAGCUAGUUGGUAAGGUAACGGCUUACCAAGGCAACGAUGCAUAGCCGACCUGAGAGGGUGAUCGGACACACUGGAACUGAGACACGGUCCAGACUCCUACGGGAGGCAGCAGUAGGGAAUCUUCCGCAAUGUGCGAAAGCCUGACGGAGCAACGCCGCGUGAGUGAUGAAGGUCUUCGGAUCGUAAAACUCUGUUAUUAGGGAAGAACAUAUGUGUAAGUAACUGUGCACAUCUUGACGGUACCUAAUCAGAAAGCCACGGCUAACUACGUG